AUCUGGAGCCGGCGGGACCCGGCGACUACCCUGCACCGGCACGGCGCCAAUGGAGCCCGAGGCGGCGGCGCUGUCGCAGCUGCAGCUGCAGCUCCUCGCCCUCGUCUCCGAGUUCCGCCUUCUCCGCGUUAGCCAACCGUGAACCGCCCACCCCGCCUUGCCUUCUAGACUCUUCCAGACCCACGCACUAACAACCGCCCCCCAUUUUCCGUUCGCAGGAGCGGGAGCGCGGCGCCCGCGAGGAGCUCCGCGACGCCGGCCAGCGCAGAGGUGGGAAGCGGCGGCGGAGGAGCACCGUAGGGAGGCCCGGGAGCUGCGAGCCGAGGUGGCCGCGCGGGACGACUCGAUACGGAGGCUCGAGGCCAGGUUUUAGGUUGCGUUGUUGUUGGAGACCUGUUCCUCGUUAGGUUAUGCUGCCCAUUUUGUCUGUAUCUCUGGUGGGUCCUUCCAAUGAUAUGUGUUCCUCGUUAGGUCAUGAUUCUGGACAGUAUCCAUCAUAUGUGUGCCAUUGCUUACAAAUAAAGUGCCUUGAGAAUGAGAAUGAGCUGCUGGAGAAAAACGAAAACAACUUGAAAGAAAGCAUGGAGGUGCUGCUUCAAUCAAGGGAGGCUUUCAUAAAACACUAUGAGGACUCUACUUGUUCUAUGCAAUGGACAAUCCAGAUGAAGGACAAACAGAUUGCUGUAAUUUCGGAGAAAUUGAAUUCACAUCUUGUUUUAUUUAGUUCGGUAGAAAAGGAAGUUGCUGCUGUGAAACAAAUACUAGGUGAUGUGCAUUGUCUGGUUGGUGAGAAGGAAAAUUUAGUUGCUGACUUGAAGGAUAAAGUCCAAAGGAUUUCUGUGCUUGAGAAAGAUUUUGUAGAGAAACUUAAUUUCUUGGAAAGCAAAAUCAGUGCAUACCAGCUUGAACUCUGUAGUAGGGCAAGGAUCAUAUAUGAGUUAAAAAAUCACCUUGAGGCUGAGAAGCUUAACAACAGUUUUCAGCCCCAUCUGGAAGAACUUAAGAAAACUUUGUUGGUGAAGGAUGAGAUUAUUGAGAGAUUAACUUCAGAGAAUCAGGCAAUGCGUUUGGAAGUUCAUAAUAUGGAAAUUGCUUUACAGAAAUUUCAAGAUUUAUUCAGUAGUAUAGGGCAUGCGGGAAUGAAGAGUUUUUCAGCAAUUUCUGAAAGUCAGGAUGUGAAUAAUGAGCAGCUUGAAAGCAUUCCAGGUACACAAUGUGGUUUAGCAAAUGAGCAUACCUCGGUAACUGCAGUUGUCAAAGAAGCCACCACACAAAAUGUUGACCACCAGUUGGAAACUGAUCCAAGCAGCAUGCAAGUAGAAAGCCCAGUGCACUUCAAGUCUGGUGCCUUGCCAUCUCCGGAGCUAGUAGCUGCGAAUACAGAAACAGCUGGCAGCCUUCUUGAACCCAAAGGAGACAUUGAUAUGGCUUUAGCCAUAUUGCUGGUGGCCCACUCAAUUAGUGGUGCUGGUUCACUGGGACACGGGGAGCAGGGAGGUGCAUGGUGGACUGCUGCUUAGCUAGGGCAUGGCUAGCAGUGUCCACUCAUGUUACUGCUGCUGGACACUGACAAACAGGAGCUGAAAGAGUAGCAAUGUCGAUUUCUCUAUUGGCUAUGGCUUAGGGUGGUUUAUCUCCUGCACGACCAACAGAUUGUUUGAAUCUGGAUCCUGACACGGAGAAUCAGUCCUAACCAUGCAAUUUGUAUCCCUUCACACCUGGAAUUUGGAUAUGGAUAGUUACUGAUUCCGUGGCUGGUUGUCGAGCAUAUUUUCUUCUCCCUAGUUGAUCACCCCCCCCCCUCCCCCCCUGUUCCCCUGUUUGCAUAGGUCCAUUUAGUUAGCCGCUAAAGAGAGAGAUCAGGUAGUGUAAGGUGUAUUUGGUUUUCGGUUUUUGUUCUGUUAACGUGGGGUGUCUUGAGAAGUGUGCAGCUAUGUAAAAGGUCUUGUAGUGUACUGCCUACCGAGUUAUCCGACACUGCUUUAUCUUUGAUUUGGCAAAGAAGUAUGGUUAUUAAGAGCAAUGGAAAUGUAGUGUGAGUACUCAUCUGGUUACA